GACGAACGCUGGCGGCGGGCUUAACACAUGCAAGUCGAACGGAAAGGCCCUUCGGGGUACUCGAGUGGCGAACGGGGUAGUAACACGUGGUUGAUCUGCCCUGCGCUUUGGGAUAAGCCAGGGAAACUGGGACUAGUACCGAAGAGGACCACGCGCUUCAUGGUGGGUGGUGGAAAGCUUUUGCGGUGUGGGAUGGGCCCGCGGCCUAUCAGCUUGGUGGUGGGGUAAUGGCCUACCAAGGCGACGCCGGGUAGCAGGCCUGGGCGGGUGACCGGCCCCACCGCGACUGAGCUACGGCACAGCCCCCUCUGCGAGGCAGCGCUGCAGAAUAGUGUACUAUACGCUGAAGCCUAACGUAGUGCAGCCGCGCGAGGGAUGACAGCCUGCGGGUUGUAUUCCUCAUCCCCCUGAGACGAGACGUAAGUGACGGUACCCGGAGAAGAAGCCCCGGCCAACUACGUG
rnacentral:rRNA from 1 species